CCUACGGGUGGCAGCAGUGAGGAAUAUUGGUCAAUGGCCGGAAGGCUGAACCAGCCAUGCCGCGUGAAGGUCAGUGCCCUAUGGGCGUUAAACUUCUUUUGUGCGGGAGCAAUAAUGGUCACGUGUGGCCAGACGAGAGUACCGUACGAAUAAGCAUCGGCUAACUCAGUGCAAGCAGCCGCGGUAAGACGGGGGAUGCAAGCGUUAACCGGAUUUGUUGGGUUUAAAGGGUGCGUGUGCUGGGAGGUAAGUCAGGGGUGAAAUGCCACCGCUCAACGGGGUGAAGGGCCAUUGAUACUGCCUUGCGGGAAUGCGGAUGCCGUGGGAGGAAUGUGUGGUGUAGCGGUGAAAUGCAUAGAUAUCACACAGAACACCGAUUGCGAAGGCAUCUCACGAAUCCGCGAUUGACGCUGAUGCACGAAAGCGUGGGUAUCAAACAGGAUUAGAUACCCCGGUAGUC
rnacentral:rRNA from 1 species